GCUCAACCGAAGAAGUGCAUCGGAAACUGGGAAACUUGAGUGCAGAAGAGGACAGUGGAACUCCAUGUGUAGCGGUGAAAUGCGUAGAUAUAUGGAAGAACACCAGUGGCGAAGGCAGCUGUCUGGUCUGUAACUGACGCUGAGGCUCGAAAGUAUGGGUAGCAAACAGGAUUAGAUACCCUGGUAGUCCAUACCGUAAACGAUGAAUGCUAAGUGUUGGAGGGUUUCCGCCCUUCAGUGCUGCAGCUAACGCAUUAAGCAUUCCGCCUGGGGAGUACGGCCGCAAGGCUGAAACUCAAAGGAAUUGACGGGGGCCCGCACAAGCGGUGGAGCAUGUGGUUUAAUUCGAAGCUACGCGAAGAACCUUACCAGGUCUUGACAUACUAUGCAAAUCUAAGAGAUUAGACGUUCCCUUCGGGGACAUGGAUACAGGUGGUGCAUGGUUGUCGUCAGCUCGUGUCGUGAGAUGUUGGGUUAAGUCCCGCAACGAGCGCAACCCUUAUUAUCAGUUGCCAGCAUUAAGUUGGGCACUCUGGUGAGACUGCCGGUGACAAACCGGAGGAAGGUGGGGAUGACGUCAAAUCAUCAUGCCCCUUAUGACCUGCGCUACACACGUGCUACAAUGGAUGGUACAACG
rnacentral:rRNA from 1 species